AUACGUAGGGGGCGAGCGUUGUCCGGAAUGAUUGGGCGUAAAGGGCGCGUAGGCGGCCCGGUAAGUCUGGAGUGAAAGUCCUGUUUUUAAGAUGGGAAUUGCUUUGGAUACUGUCGGGCUUGAGUGCAGGAGAGGUAAGUGGAAUUCCCAGUGGAGCGGUGUAAUGCGUAGAGAUUGGGAGGAACACCAGUGGCGAAGGCGACUUACUGGACUGUAACUGACGCUGAGGCGCGAAAGUGUGGGGAGCAAACAGGAUUAGAUACCCUGGUAGUCCACACUGUAAACGAUGAAUGCUAGGUGUAGGGGGUAUCGACCCCUUCUGUGCCGCAGUCAACACAAUAAGCAUUCCGCCUGGGGAGUACGGCCGCAAGGUUGAAACUCAAAUGAAUUGACGGGG
rnacentral:rRNA from 1 species